GACGAACGCUGGCGGCGUGCUUAACACAUGCAAGUCGAACGGAAAGGCCCUGCUUUUGUGGGGUGCUCGAGUGGCGAACGGGUGAGUAACACGUGAGUAACCUGCCCUUGUCUUUGGGAUAACUUCAGGAAACUGGGGCUAAUACCGGAUAGGAGCUCCUGCUGCAUGGUGGGGGUUGGAAAGUUUCGGCGGUUGGGGAUGGACUCGCGGCUUAUCAGCUUGUUGGUGGGGUAGUGGCUUACCAAGGCUUUGACGGGUAGCCGGCCUGAGAGGGUGACCGGCGACAUUGGGGCUGAGAUACGGCCCAGAAUCCUACGGGAGGCAGCAGGGGGAAAUAUUGCAAAGUGGGCGGAAGCCUGAUGAAGCAACCCCGCGUGCGGGAUAACGGCCUUCGGGUUAUAAACCGCUUUCGCCUGUGAGGAAGCGUGAGUGACGGUAAUGGGUAAAGAAGCACCGGCUAACUACGUG
rnacentral:rRNA from 1 species